GUGAGGAAUAUUGCGCAAUGGAGGCAACUCUGACGCAGCCAUGCCGCGUGCAGGAAGAAGGCGCUACGCGUUGUAAACUGCUUUUAACCGGGAAGAAACCCCAGGACGUGUCCUGGGUUGACGGUACCGGAGGAAUAAGCACCGGCUAACUUCGUGCCAGCAGCCGCGGUAAUACGAGGGGUGCAAGCGUUAUCCGGAUUCAUUGGGUUUAAAGGGUGCGUAGGCGGAGCGUUAAGUCAGUGGUGAAAUCCUGCAGCUUAACUGUAGACUUGCCAUUGAUACUGGCGCUCUUGAGUGCGCUUGAAGUGGGCGGAAUGUGCCGUGUAGCGGUGAAAUGCUUAGAUAUGGCACAGAACACCAAUUGCGAAGGCAGCUCACUAAGGCGAUACUGACGCUGAGGCACGAAAGCGUGGGGAUCGAACAGGAUUAGAAACCCGGGUAGUCC
rnacentral:rRNA from 1 species